rnacentral:rRNA from 1 species
UACGUAGGGGGCGAGCGUUGUCCGGAGUUACUGGGCGUAAAGGGCACGCGGGCGGUGCGGCGCGUUUCGCGUGACAGCGGAGGGCUUAACUCUCCGAGGAUGCGAAAGACGGCGGCACUUGAGGGCCAGAGAGGGACACGGAAUUCCGGGUGGAGUGGUGAAAUGCGUAGAGAUCCGGAGGAACACCGAAGGCGAAGGCAGUGUCCUGGCUGGUGACUGACGCUGAGGUGCGAAAGCUAGGGGAGCGAACGGG